UUGUUUUGUGCUGAUAACGAUUUUAGUGGCGGACGGGUGAGUAACGCGUGAGCAACCUGCCUACUACAGGGGGAUAACAGUUGGAAACGACUGCUAAUACCGCAUGAGACCACAAGAUGGCAUCAUCAAGGGGUCAAAGGAGAAAUCUGGUAGUGGAGGGGCUUGCGUCUCAUUAGAUAGUUGGUGAGGUAACGGCCCACCAAGUCAACGAUGAGUAGCCGAUCUGAGAGGAUGAACGGCCACAUUGGAACUGAGAAACGGUCCAAACUCC
rnacentral:rRNA from 1 species